rnacentral:rRNA from 1 species
GACGUAGGGGGCAAGCGUUAUCCGGAUUCACUGGGCGUAAAGGGCGCGUAGGCGGCUAUGUAAGUCCGUUGUGAAAUCCCCGGGCUCAACCCGGGAACUGCGACGGAUACUGCAUUGGCUUGAGGACGGUAGAGGCUAGUGGAACUAGCGGUGUAGCGGUGAAAUGCGCAGAUAUCGCUAGGAACGCCGGUGGCGAAGGCGACUGGCUGGGCCGAUCCUGACGCUGAGGCGCGAAAGCCAGGGGAGCGAACCGG